GCCAAGAUAGCAAAGAUGGUCUAUGCAGAGGACUGAAAAUCCUUAGAUGUCCGAUCGUUACGGACUCUUGGCA
rnacentral:tRNA from 1 species